GGAGGAGUUUCUCCGCUCAGCACCAAGACCAACGACAACACCAAUACCAACACCAACACCAAGACCAAGACCAAGACCAGAACCAACACUAUCACCAGCACCAACAGCAGUUCCACCACCAGCAACAGAAGACCCAUCACCAGCUCCAGGUCCAUCAUCAGCAUCAGCAACAGAGGCCCUGGGCCACUCUGUCAUUCCAAAAGGACUUGUGGAGCGCUGCUCCUUCCAAAGCCCCCAGAAGUUCAUAAAUGAUCUCCUACAUGGGAUGUAUACCAGGGAAUAUAUGGCAGGCCAUUCAGUGACUGGCCAGUCAUCCAGCAGCUGCACAGAAGGAAAACCUGACCUAGCCAAACAGGACCUUGUUGAAAUAACAAAUGCUGCAAAGUUGAAGUUCACCUACGUAACUGAUACGAACAUAAAAGCAUAUAUACGACAAAAG